UCACCUGGACUAUGUGACCUGGCGUGUAGCCAUCGGAAAUUUUCGCAAGAGAGCUGAGGUCCAGCGCCCUGGUUACGUCGCCACCCUGCUUUCUGAUCAGCUGCUUCCACAGGACUGAAGGCAAACAGAGUCAAAGAUCCUUUCUUUUUCUGUGGAGAAACAUAAAUAUCAUCAGGACACAGCUCAAGCUAUCUUCCAUUCAGCCAGCUCUUGUCUCAUCUGCUCAUCCACCUGAUAAAAGCAGAACAGACCAACUACAACUCCACCUCGUGCCUCUGGUUGAAGUUUCUGGACUCGUUGCGGGUUUGCCAAAAAUCUGAGGAUGACAAACAUUCAGUUCAAGCUUCAUGUGAAUGAACACACAUUUAUACACCGAUGGUGGCGGAGCUGCAACGGGAGCAACUUGAGGUUCAGUGUCUUGCUCAAGGACACUUCGACAUGCAGACAGGAGGAGCCGGGAUCAAACCGCCAACCUUGUGAUUAAAGGACGCUGUACCUCCUGAGCCACAGUCGCCCCAGAUAAUGUACACUGAGAGGUGGUGAUUGGCCCAAACACAGGAAAUCGUUUAUGCUCUAACACCCUCCCCAUCACACCAUCAAGAAUCGCCCGGAUAACUCUUCUCUUCUGGGGCUGGACCACCUGGUCAUAGACCUUCUCCUGCUGUCUGAAGAUCUGCAAGUAGUGCACAUAAAGCAUGGCCAGACGCU